ensembl:lncRNA novel transcript
UUUGUGAGAGAUGCGACUUGGUCCCCGCUCAAUCACUCCCUGCUUACCACAGUGGGCUGGGACCAUCAGGUCGUCCACCACGUUGUGCCCACAGAACCUCUCCCAGCCCCUGGACCUGCAAGUGUUACUGAGUAGAUUGGAUUUAAGACAAAAAGCAAGUCCCCCAUGAGUGUCCACUUCUUUGCCCUGCCCUCUCAGCUUGUGAGACAACACAGGAGCCUUCUAUACUGUUCUCUGGUCCACCAAGGGCUAUGAGGCUCACCCCUUGGAUGGUGCUCAGAACCACAAGGAAUACUGAAGAAGCCUUGCCUAUGAUUUCAGGUGGCAUCAGACAUUGGGCUAAUUUUCAAGGUGUCUCUCCUUCCCAACAGGACAGUCGGAGUCUGGUUCUUUAAUAAAUAGCUAUAUGGAUCUU